rnacentral:rRNA from 1 species
CCUACGGGUGGCAGCAGUGGGGAAUAUUGGACAAUGGGGGGAACCCUGAUCCAGCCAUGCCGCGUGUGUGAAGAAGGCCCUCGGGUUGUAAAGCACUUUCAGUGAGGAAGAACGCCUGGUGGUUAAUACCCAUCAGGAAAGACAUCACUCACAGAAGAAGCACCGGCUAACUCCGUGCCAGCAGCCGCGGUAAUACGGAGGGUGCGAGCGUUAAUCGGAAUUACUGGGCGUAAAGCGCGCGUAGGUGGCUUGAUAAGCCGGUUGUGAAAGCCCCGGGCUCAACCUGGGAACGGCAUCCGGAACUGUCAAGCUUGAGUGCAGGAGAGGAAGGUAGAAUUCCCGGUGUAGCGGUGAAAUGCGUAGAGAUCGGGAGGAAUACCAGUGGCGAAGGCGGCCUUCUGGACUGACACUGACACUGAGGUGCGAAAGCGUGGGUAGCAAACAGGAUUAGAUACCCUUGUAGUC